GCUGUCAACUUUGCUUCUGUUGAUUUUCUCCUUUAUUGGAAGAGAAUCAAGUGCAGGGAGGUGCUUUAGAGGAUGGUGCAGUCAUUGAAUGUACCUAAAAUACCCUUGAGAAAUCCAUAGAUACAUUAUCUCUUUUUCUCUCAAGAAAAGUCUUUGUCAAACGGAGAAUUUUCUGAGUAAGGAUAAACUACUUUUAGCAUUACUUUUUAACACUAGUUUUUAGUAGUGUAAGAGACCAUGGCACUGCCCACUUCUUCUGCCAUUAAACAGAUUAGGAAAAAUAAAAACUGAACACACAGAUCUCAUGAGGCGAUUGAGUCAUUUCUCUACACCUCUGAUGACAAAUCUUCAGUGUAACUUCAUACUUUUCUAGAACUUUGUGGAUUCCAUGAAUACAAACUGUCUUACAAGUUAAAUAUAAUGUACUUUCCUUCCCAAAAGUUCUCAGAACUACAGGAUGUCAAGUAGAAGGGAUUUUUAAUUCAUCUAGUCUCCUCUAGCCAGCAUAAGUCUUCCUACAAUAAUGUGGAUAAGUCAAGCCAAAGAAUUAUUAGCCCAAAUCACUUUAUGUAUAUUUCCUAUAUCAUCUACUUUGUCACACUCAAUAAAAACUGAAGAUCACACUAGAGCAGAAACAAAGAUUUAAAGAUAAUUCUAACCUUGUCUGGACACAGUUCAGGGCAGAAAACUAUGAUUGAAAGAGAGGAAUAAGAGAAAGCAGAGGAGUAGCUGUCCCAGAGAGGAAGUUAUGGAAAGAAGGGAGACUCAGCAGAAGAAAGGGAUGUUUGGCCACAACAACCAAAGGUGGAGCAUGAGGAUAGGUUUACCAACCCAGUGUGACUCUGAGAUACUGAAUGAGCAUGAGAAAGUGACACUUCAUGACUGAAAUUUGGAAGCCUCUCGUGUGGAGCUAAAAACCCAAGCCACCUUUUACAGUGUUGCAACCUCAGUCCCAAGCAGCCUAAACUAAGAAGAGCAAGCCAAAAUGAGAAGCCAAGAAAAGGAUAGAAAAACAGGAUGCUGAUGGGUCUGCACUUUAGAGAGAACGGUGUGUGCUAAGCCCAGGAGGAAAUAGAUGAUCUUCUGAUGUAAUUCCUGCUCAGAAGUGAACAUUUGCUCCAUGCCAUUUCUGCCACCAACACUGAAAAAUUAGAAAAAUACCUUGGAUCUCUUCAUUAUACAGAAACAAUAGUGCAAAUUUGUGUGACCUAGACUGGAAUAGACCAAGGUUACAUUCUGAGCUAAGCCCAAUUCUUAGAAAUAUAAUUCUUUCAUCUUUAAUUUUCUAUUUCAUUUGAGCAAAACGGUUGGAGAUUUCAGAAGCACUCAGCAGGACUGAGGAUUGUUGAUGAAUUUCAAGGUUUUGUUGAAUACUUUAAAUUGCAACUAAUUAUAAGUCGUUCUUUAGAAAUUGUUAUACAACACCAUUUUUGUAAUUGAUUUGUAUAAACAGAUAUCGCAUUGCAUUAUGUUUGGUUUUUGUGGUCUGUAAAUUCU
rnacentral:lncRNA from 1 species